UUCCUGGCCCUGGCAGCACAAAUAUUAAAAUUGGAAUGAUACUGAGAUUAGCAUGACCCUUGCAAAGGAUGGCACUUUAAGUGUUCUCUAUUUAA
rnacentral:snRNA from 1 species